GUUGGGUUUCCUUUUUUUUUUUUUUUUAGCAUGAUUGCAGUUAGAUCUGCAGUAUUUCCUCAAAUAUGUGAGGGGAAGGGAGCGGUGACUUCCUAAAGGAAAGUAUUUAUAUUUUUAGACUGAAAUAGGCUGUUACAAAGCUUUUCUCCAAAAACACAUUUAAAAAAGGAGUGUUCUAAACAAUAGAAAAUGUAUCUUAACGCAUAGUUAAGGAGCACCAAGAAAAUGCUUCUGGAUGUUGGAAUGUCAGCCUCGACUCCGCUUCUUUCUGAACUCGCUUGUUCUGCUUCGGGCUCCCAUGUCAGCAGUGUCGUGGAGAGCUCGUCCGUGUGAAGGGACAGCAUCCCGGCCAGGCCAUGGAUGGUGGCCCGGGAGGAGGAAGUGUGAGCGGGUCAAGAGAGAGAGAAGGCAUGAGAGAGGCACUCUGCUCGGAUGACACAGCCCACACUGUUUUGCCACAGAUUUGUGGUGUAUCACAGCUCGAGGGAGUCCUGGAGGCCACCCAGGCCAGGGUUUCUCAUGUUGUUGACCAUGUGCACCAGGAGGUGAGGCCUGGGAAUCCACCUACUUAGUGGCUCAGGAGAGCUGGCCCAAUAACCAGCUGGUACAGAGGCCUCAUUUCAUCGAGGAGCAGUCUGGACUGGAGAGGCCACAGGACUCGGAACAGCACCAGAUUGAAAGCAGAGCCCAUUUGAGACGUGGCUUAAAGAGGGACACCAUGCUGUCCAAACGUGGGUGUAGACAGAGCAGACACAGCCUCUUUUAUCUGCUUAUUGUGGCUCUGGGAAGACAGCUCCCCAACCCCUCCAUUCCUCUCUCAUUUGUUCAUCUUGAAACCCAUUAAGAGGGCACAAAACCUUUAUGUCACAGUGGGAGAUAAUAUGUGAAUGAUUCUUAGAAAGGUAAGAGGUAUAGGCUGGGCGCGGUGGCUCACGCCUGGAAUCCCAGCACUUUAGGAGGCCAAGGUGGGCGGAUCAUGAGGUCAGGAGAUCGAGACCAUCCUGGCUAACACGGUGAAACCCCGUCUCUACUACAAAUACAAAAAAAUUAGCCGGGCAUGGUGGCGGGCGCCUGUAGUCCCAGCUACUCGGGAGGCUGAGGCUGGAGAAUGGAGUGAACCCGGGAGGCGGAGCUUGCAGUGAGCCGAGAUUGCGCCACUGCACUCCAGCCUGGGCAACAGAGCGAAACUCCGUCUCAAAAAAAAAAAAAAAAAAAGAAAGAAAAAAAAGAAAGGUAAGAGGUAUAAAAUAUCCCCCAAGCUAAGGAGGCGCUGUAAUAGGCAGCUCUCCACUUUUGAGAAGAUUAGCUAUUGGAGGAAGAGGUGGCAUGAAACGGCACAGGACCCAAAAGGUGCCCUGCAUGGAGGGAACAUCCCAGAUCACAGAUCAAAGACUGGAUGCAGGGUGGGAAUCCUGUUUUCUAAUUUUUUAUUAUAAAAAUUUCCAAACACACAAAAAUUAAAAGAAUGAUGUACUGAUCACCCAGAUAUCUACCACUUAUAUUCAAAAACUUAAAACAUUCCCAUAGAUGUGCAUGAUCUAUCUAUAGGUCCAUCUGUGUGUGUGUGUGUGUGUGUGUGUGUGUGUGUGUGUGUGUGUGUGUGUGUGUGUCUGGUCGAGGACCAGCAUUUCAAUAAAGGAUAGGGAGUGCUCAACAGGAAACAAGGACAAGACACAGAGGCUGAGGUGGGCAGAUCACUUGGGGCCGAUAGUUCGAGACCAGGCUGACCAACAUGGUGAAACCCCGUCUCUACUAAAAUUACAAAAAAAUUAGCUGGGCGUGGUAGCGCAUGCCUGUAAUCCCGGCUACUUGGGAGGCUGAGGCAGGAGGAUCGCUUGAACAUGGGAGGCGGAGGUUGCAGUGAGUUGAGAUCGCGCACUUCACUCUCGCAACAGAGCGAGACUCCAUCUCAAAAAAAAGAAAGAAAGAAACUUAGUUACAAAGAUUUGAACUUUAACUUGAUGUAGUUAAGUUUAAAUGUAUGUGGAAUAAACCGUGGCAGGGUUUGAUUUAAUUUUAAUUGUUUUUUGCUUUUGUCUUAUUUAGAGAGGUAAAUGAGAUGCUUUGGCAACUGUUGAGGAAGAGAGGAAACAGACUUCAAUGCAGUUAAGAUGGACAUAAGCAGGUUGGAAGGCAGCCAGAGGGAAUUUUUGCAGAAGGAGUGACCCAGUCUUGGGGACAGAGAAUAUGGAUUUGUUUUCCCCAAAGAAUUUAUUGAGCUCUGUGUGUAGUGAGCAUGGCUGGA
rnacentral:lncRNA from 10 species